rnacentral:lncRNA from 1 species
GGGUGCAUGUAUACAAUUAGAGUUUACACAAUGCGUGCAAAGUUGGUGGUUAGAAAGAUAGUUAGCAGUUAAGACAUUAUUAUUUCAUCAUUAUUGCUCUUUUGACUUUUGACUUUAAUUAAUGAAGGGUAUAAAUUUUAGAUUGGGGGUGUAGGAUGAGGUUAGGGAGGUGUAGGGAGAAUCACUCUUGAGAGAUGUUCCCUACACCUCGCCUCUUUCUCCCCGCACCUUCAAAUUUACAUUUUUCUUCUUCAUUUAAUAAAAGUCAAAACACUAUUAAUGUGAGGCUUAAUGGGAGGAAAACGCUAUCAAAGAUUCUCAUGAAGCAACUCUAAUCCAAACUGUAUAUAAACUCAUAAAUUAUAUGAAUAUGCA